UGGUGUUUUCCGGCGACCUCCGAGAUCGACUCAGAUGCUUGAAUUGCAGAGAUGGAAGAGUUGGAGGAUUGGAAGGCUGAAUUGGGGUUCGAGGGUUUAGAACAGUGGAUGUUGCUGUUGUGUUCAAUGUUUAAUUGUUCAUGCCUAUUAUUUGGUUUGAUGUUUGAUAGAAAUGUGGAAGUGAAAUGGUAGAGGAAAUGAUAAUUCAGAAGAUUGGAAAUUUGAGCAGAGAAUAGGAACUGUUUAAUUGGGAUGAUGGAUUAGAUGAUAGUUAGAAGAAUGAGUUUCAAAUAUUGGAGCAUGGUUUAAGUUGAUCAUGUUUUAUUGGUAGGAAGAUGAGAAUCUAGGUCACAUGAAGAUGGGUUACGUGAUUAGCAAGUAGAUUUGUUGUUGACAAAUCUACUUGUAAUUAUGAAGAAGAUGUGGUUUAAUUAAGAAAGAAGAUAGAGCAGUUGAUUUAAGUUGGUAAUUAAGAAUGGGUGGUUGAAUUAGGUGUUAUUACUUACUAUUGAUCAAGGAGUUGUUUAAUUGAAAGUAUUUUGGAAAGCUUGAGAACUUGGAGUGUCCAGAGUAAUUCUGGAGAGUUUAGAUCGGUGCUUGGAGCAUAGUUGAGAUACGACAACAGAGUUGAAUGCAAAUGUAGAUUAAAGGUGGGGAUAAUAUGAAAUGAGUAAUUGUGAUGUUGGAUUUGGGGAUUGUCGCAAAAGGUGACAGGAAUUGUGGAUUAAAGCUUUGGGGUGUCCUUAGCAAAUCCGAGGCCAUGAUCAUAUCAAGUUAAGUGUUUGUCGACGAUCUUGGAAUUAGGAUUCCGUACGAGGAUCGAAUGCAAGUAGCGUUGGAUUCCAGGUAGGGUCUCUUGGGGAACCUUUCUUUAAAUUGAUAAUUAGAUUAUAAUUGAAAUGGGUGUUUUGUGUGGCAUUGAUUGGUUAAUUGUUGAUUGUUAUCGUUUUCGAUAAAGCAUGUGUAAUCGGUGAUUUAUAUAAUUAAUGUUAUCGUUUUUUCCAUAAAAGCAU